GAUGAACGCUAGCUACAGGCUUAACACAUGCAGGUCGAGGGGCAGCGGGAACUUAGCUUGCUAAGUUUGCCGGCGACCGGCGCACGGGUGAGUAACACGUAUCCAACCUGGCCCAUACUCGGGUAUAGCCUCUCGAAAGGGAGAUUAAUCCCCGAUGUUGUUGGAUUACCGCAUGGUUUUUCAACCAAAGAAAUUCGGUAUGGGAUGGGGAUGCGUUCCAUUAGGUAGUAGGCGGGGUAACGGCCCACCUAGCCGACGAUGGAUAGGGGUUCUGAGAGGAAGGUCCCCCACACUGGAACUGAGACACGGUCCAGACUCCUACGGGAGGCAGCAGUGAGGAAUAUUGGUCAAUGGCCGAGAGGCUGAACCAGCCAAGUAGCGUGAAGGAUGACUGCCCUAUGGGUUGUAAACUUCUUUUGUAUGGGAAUAAAGUGCUUUACGUGUAGAGUUUUGUAUGUACCAUAUGAAUAAGCAUCGGCUAAUUCCGUGCCAGCAGCCGCAGUAACAC
rnacentral:rRNA from 1 species